CCUGCCUCAGCCUCCCAAACACUGGGACUACAGAUGAGAUCUCCUCCAUAACUUCUUGCUGCUGGGAGAUGAUCACCCACAAUUCUGCAGCCAGAGAUAAGAGAGAUGGGGGACUGCUGGCCAUUGGCUCAGUUGUGAUCAUGUGCCGUGCUACUGGUAUUGCAAAACAUCGCUUGUUCGUCAAGUUAAAUUUUAUUAGAAAUGUUGGCUCAUCUCGCAGAAUACUCGCAGAACAAGUUACAACUCAAGCUUUUACUGUAUAUAUAUGAGAAAAUUAUAUAUUUCUAAGAUCAA